GGUGCCGUAGCCAAGUAGUAAGGCAGGGGUCUGCAAAACCCCCAUGCGUGGGUGCGAUUCCCACCGGCACCUCCA
rnacentral:tRNA from 3 species